UACGAAGGGGGCUAGCGUUGCUCGGAAUCACUGGGCGUAAAGCGCGUGUAGGCGGCCCUGUAAGUCGGGUGUGAAAUCCCACGGCUCAACCGUGGAAGUGCAUUCGAAACUACAGGGCUAGAGUUCUGGAGAGGAAGGUGGAAUGCUUGGUGUAGAGGUGAAAUUCGUAGAUAUCAAGCGGAACACCGGUGGCGAAGGCGGCCUUCUGGACAGUAACUGACGCUGAGACGCGAAAGCGUGGGGAGCAAACAGG
rnacentral:rRNA from 1 species